rnacentral:lncRNA from 10 species
ACAUAGGGGGUGGCUGGGGGAGGCACAACUCAGAAAGUGACAGCGACAAUAUUAGGAGUGAAAAAGAUCAAUUAAGCCCAUCGAGCUGAUUUGUGAAGCUGAUUAAAUUAGGAGCCUCCCUGGGGGCAGAGGCUCUCUCAGGUUGAUAGACCCAGCUGCUGGCUGCUGUAGGGUCCUUGCCAGCCCCCAGGGUGCAAUGGGGGCCACUUUGUCCUGCUCUGUCCACGGAGAGGGGAUGAGGGGAAGCUCCCUUUAGAAAGCCCUGGCAGGGCCAAGCUCAGCACCCAGCCCAUGGUCCCCUGUGCUUUCUUAUAGAAUCCCCUGCAAUCCUGGGGCACUGAGUAGAUUGGCCUGACUUUAAAAUAAGAUCCUGGGCCUCAGAGAGCUUAGGUGGCCUAUGCGGGGCAACCCAGCUGGUAGGCACAGGUAAGUGCUGGACCUGGGACUGGAAACCAGGUCCUUCUGUUCCCUAUGUGUUCUGUCCUCUCCUUGCCCUGUCCCCAUAUCCGGCUUCAACAUCUCGGUCUAUUACUCUAUUUUUCCAGUCUCAAGGCUCCUGUCCCCACUGCCCACCCCCUCCCCCUUUGACUGGCUCUAAUCAGAUUAGCUCUCCAGUAACCCGAUCCCUCUGCCCUGGUCUCAGGAUUCCCUUUCAUGGACUGUCUCCAGGGCAGCUGUGGCCAGAAUAUUCUUCCAGUACUUCAGAAUCCAUCCGCUUCUCCUGGCUUCUGGGUGGGGGCUGGGGAGAGGGAUUUGGACAAAGACUCUAGUGUGUGUAGGGGCAAUGAACCCUGGGGAGGUUACAGAAAUGAGGUCGGCUUCUCCAGAGUGCACGAGCUAGGGAAGGGAGCGCCUUGAAAGCCAGGCUGCAGAAUUUGGCCAUCCUCAAACACCACCUUUAAUGGCAAAGGAGGGAUGGGAAAACUCCUGAAGACCAGGUAGCCAUGGAGUGCUACAUUUCUGGAUGGAAAGGGGACCACACAGGAUUCACAACUGGGCUCCUCUUGCUGUGUUGGAGGGAGAUGUUUCACCUGAGCACCAUGUUUCACAUGGCAGUGGGGCAAGGCACUGAGGCUGUGUGGCAUGGCACCACAGGGUGGCCACUGGUCCCUGAGUCGGCAGACCUGGCUCUCUUUUCCCUGCCAUGCUGACUUCAUGUUUAUGGCUAAGAAGCCUCUCCCAGGGAGCAGCUGAGCUUCAGGGGCAUUCCUGGAGCGUCCAGGAGAGCAAUAUGGCCCUUUGCUGGUGGAGAACCUGAGACCCUCAAGGAGAAAGUGAAGAAAAUUCUCUCUGCAUACAGACCCCUUCCCAUUUUCCCAUUCUGGGUUGACUAUCCUCCCUCAUAGAUGUGCUCAUGAGUCUUGGAAAUUCUCUUGACUCAUUGCCAUUUAAAAUAUCUGUGUUGCUUCUGAUGAUAGAUGGUUGAUUUAUAAAAUGGUUUGGCUCUCUUUAUGAUAGAAUAUUAUACAGGCAUCAAAAACAAUAAUGUAGGAGACAAGGAUAUGAGGAGAUGUUCAAGCUGUAUUCUGUGAAAAGAAAAAAAGAUUGCAGAAUACAGCAUAUGUUCCCAUUUUUUUUUUUUUUUUUUUUUUACAAAAAUGUGGACCUAGGUACAUAAUGUGUGCUAUGCAUAGGAAAAAGCCUGGAGAACUUGCACGAAAUGGUCACACUGUUUUUCAGUGAUGGUAAGAUAAAGGGUAAUUUUAAAAAUUCCUAUUCUUUUCCAGAUUGUUUCUAACACUGCGCAUGCCUUUCGGAGACAAAUUUUAAAAAUAAACAUUAUUUUUAAAAGGAAACAAACAAACAAAACCAAACAGAAGGGAGGCUGGGUUUCUUGGGGAUUUCGGGAGUGCCUGUGUCUCCACGACCUGGGCAGUGCUCUUCUGAGAGGACUGAGGGCUGGGGAGGCAGAGAGAGCAACGACAGGCUACCAGCAUUGAGAAAGAAGGCCUCAAGGCCACAUUGAGAAGGACACUACGCUCUGGAUCACAGGCUGAGCCCUGCAUUCUUGACAUUGGAGCCCUUCGGGAGUGCCAGAACGAGCAGUCCCUCUCCUGGAGGAGCCUGCCUUCCCACCACGGAGGCUAACACCACAACAGCCACAGUGAGCCACCCCUUCUGCCCAUCUUCUUACGUGUCAAGCACUGUGUUCAGUGCCUUCACAGGUAACUUCGAUAAGUCACGAUGGGCAUGCUGCGACUAAGUUGGUACUGAUAUUCUAUUGGUUUUAAAUGGGGAAACUGAGGCUCAGGAAGGUUCAGUAUUUUGCUGGAGGUCACACAGCCAGGCAAGGGCAGAGCCAAGAUUUCAGUUUCAAUCUGUCUGGCUUGGAAGACUUCCUUAUCUUGUGGCAGCAUCUCCAGAGAUCAUGGGUCAGCCUCUUCUUGCCAGAGGCGUGUGUGUGUGCACAGACACAUACACGCUGAGUGACAGAGGGACAAAAACAGUGAGCACCCACCCAGGCACUGUGCUCGAAAUUCUUCCUGCAAACCUGCAAGAUCAAAACCUAAAAAGGUGGGAAUGAAAGAAGCUCCUAACCCUCCUGGCUUUUUUCCCAAAGCCAGGAGGCAGCUCCUGAAUGGUGGAUUUUGGACUACUGGUGAGGCUGUCAGCAAAGGGCCUGGCCCAGAGAGAUGCUCAAGAGUAGGAUGAAAAGACCGUGGGCUUCUUCCUCUGCAAAAGGAAAGGUUUGGGACUGAUGGAUGCUGAAAAGUCUAGAUCUUCAUAAUCCUCAACAGCUUCACUGCCACUGCACACACAAAAUGAGUGUGCCCUAUAUUUCCAGCCCUCUGAUGAAUACGAAAAGAGCCUGAAGAACUCAUCUUCCUGGUCGCAAAGUACUUUAAAAUAUAUAAUCCCUCAAUCUUAAACAUACACAUUUUAUUGCUUUUUAUUAUACAAUAAUACAUAUUUACUAUUGAAAAUACAGAUAAGAAAAAAGAAAAUGGUUCAUAAUAAUACUACCCAGGUUUAAAAAAUACUAUUCAGCCUUAUGUUGAAGAAUCUGACUCUUUUCCUAUGCAAGCAUGUAUUUCAAGCAAAACUGGACACUUCAUGUGUACCUUGUUUUGUGAUCUUUUUUUCCCAAAUUAAUAUAUAAUCAAUAUCUUUUUGUAUCAAUCUUCAAUCCUUUCUUCUGUCACUUAUUUUUAAUGGUUAACAGUCAUCUACUAUAUAGAUAUUCUGUAAUUUAUUAAAGUGAUCCCUCAU